rnacentral:rRNA from 1 species
GACGAACGCUGGCGGCAUGCCUAACACAUGCAAGUCGAACGGGAUCCAGGCUUCGGUCUGGUGAGAGUGGCGGACGGGUGAGUAACACGUGGGAACCUGCCUUUUGGUUCGGGAUAACCGCGGGAAACUGCGGCUAAUACCGGAUGCUCCCGAGAGGGGAAAGAUUUAUCGCCAGAAGAGGGGCCCCGUCCGAUUAGGUAGUUGGUGAGGUAAUGGCUCACCAAGCCGACGAUCGGUAGCUGGUCUGAGAGGAUGAUCAGCCACACUGGGACUGAGAUACGGCCCAGACUCCUACGGGAGGCAGCAGUGGGGAAUAUUGGACAAUGGGGGCAACCCUGAUCCAGCAAUGCCGCGUGAGUGAUGAAGGCCUUAGGGUUGUAAAGCUCUUUUUGCCAGGGAAGAUGAUGACUGUACCUGGAGAAUAAGCCCCGGCUAACUUCGUG